AUACGUAUGUCGCAAGCGUUAUCCGGAUUUAUUGGGCGUAAGGCGCGUCUAGGCGGCUUAGUAAGUCUGAUGUGAAAAUGCGGGGCUCAACCCCGUAUUGCGUUGGAAACUGCUAAACUAGAGUACUGGAGAGGUAGGCGGAACUACAAGUGUAGAGGUGAAAUUCGUAGAUAUUUGUAGGAAUGCCGAUGGGGAAGCCAGCCUACUGGACAGAUACUGACGCUAAAGCGCUAAAGCGUGGGUAGCAAACAGGAUUAGAUCCCCUGGUAGUCCACGCCGUAAACGAUGAUUACUAGGUGUUGGGGGUCGAACCUCAGCGCCCAAGCUAACGCGAUAAGUAAUCCGCCUGGGGAGUACGUACGCAAGUAUGAAACUCAAAGGAAUUGACGGGG
rnacentral:rRNA from 1 species